GGGCCGGUGGGGUAGCCUGGUAUCCUUCGGCCUUCGGGUGGCCGUAACCGCGAUUCGAAUUCGCGCCGGCCCACUA
rnacentral:tRNA from 1 species